rnacentral:rRNA from 1 species
AGAGUUUGAUCCUGGCUCAGGACGAACGCUGGCGGCGUGCCUAACACAUGCAAGUCGAGCGGAGAUAACAUGCUUUGGCGUGUUAUUUCAGCGGCGGACGGGUGAGUAACGCGUGAAGGACCUGCCCCUUACAGAGGGAUAACAUCGAGAAAUCGGUGCUAAUACCGCAUAAGACCACGGUGCUGCAUGGCACAGGGGUAAAAGGAGAAAUCCGGUAAGGGAUGGCUUCGCGUCCCAUUAGAUAGUAGGCGGGGUAACGGCCCACCUAGUCGACGAUGGGUAGCCGACCUGAGAGGGUGAUCGGCCACACUGGAACUGAGACACGGUCCAGACUCCUACGGGAGGCAGCAGUGGGGAAUAUUGGGCAAUGGGCGAAAGCCUUACCCAGCAACGCCGCGUGAGAGAAGAAGGUUUUCGGAUUGUAAAUCUCUGUCCUGGGGGACGAAGGAAGUGACGGUACCCCGGGAGGAAGCCCCGGCUAACUACGUGCCAGCAGCCGCGGUAAUACGUAGGGGGCGAGCGUUGUCCGGAAUUAUUGGGCGUAAAGGGCGUGUAGGUGGCCAGAUAAGCGUAAUGUGGAAGUCCAUAUUUCAAGUAUGGAAGUGCGCUAUGAACUGUCUGGCUUGAGUGCAGGAGAGGGAAGCGGAAUUCCCAGUGUAGCGGUGAAAUGCGUAGAGAUUGGGAGGAACACCAGUGGCGAAGGCGACUUACUGGACUGUAACUGACGCUGAGGCGCGAAAGUGUGGGGAGCAAACAGGAUUAGAUACCCUGGUAGUCCACACUGUAAACGAUGAAUGCUAGGUGUAGGGGGUAUCGACCCCUUCUGUGCCGCAGUUAACACAAUAAGCAUUCCGCCUGGGGAGUACGGCCGCAAGGUUGAAACUCAAAGGAAUUGACGGGGGCCCGCACAAGCAGCGGAGCAUGUGGUUUAAUUCGACGCAACGCGAAGAACCUUACCAGGUCUUGACAUCCAGUAAAACUUGCAGAGAUGCAUCGUGAGCUUGCUCAUACUGAGACAGGUGGUGCAUGGUUGUCGUCAGCUCGUGUCGUGAGAUGUUGGGUUAAGUCCCGCAACGAGCGCAACCCUUAUUUUCAGUUACUAACACGUAAAGGUGAGGACUCUGAAGAGACUGCCGGGGACAACUCGGAGGAAGGUGGGGACGACGUCAAAUCAUCAUGCCCCUUAUGACCUGGGCUACACACGUGCUACAAUGGCCACCACAGAGAGGAGCGAACCUGCGAGGGGGAGCGGAUCUCAAAAAAGUGGUCCCAGUUCGGAUUGUGGGCUGCAACCCGCCCACAUGAAGUCGGAGUUGCUAGUAAUCGCGGAUCAGCAUGCCGCGGUGAAUACGUUCCCGGGCCUUGUACACACCGCCCGUCACACCAUGGGAGUUGGGAGUGCCCAAAGUCGGUGAGGUAACCGCAAGGAGCCAGCCGCCUAAGGCAAGACCAAUGACUGGGGUGAAGUCGUAACAAGGUAACC